rnacentral:rRNA from 1 species
CAGUAGCCACGGGAACACAGAGGGUGCGAGCGUUAAUCGGAUUUACUGGGCGUAAAGCGUGCGUAGGCGGCUUCUUAAGUCGGAUGUGAAAUCCCUGAGCUUAACUUAGGAAUUGCAUUCGAUACUGGGAAGCUAGAGUAUGGGAGAGGAUGGUAGAAUUCCAGGUGUAGCGGUGAAAUGCGUAGAGAUCUGGAGGAAUACCGAUGGCGAAGGCAGCCAUCUGGCCUAAUACUGACGCUGAGGUACGAAAGCAUGGGGAGCAAACAGGAUUAGAUACCCCGGUAGUCCCUGUCUCUUAUAC